GCAGGUGAAUACAACGUUGGGUGAUGAACGUUGUGCUCCAUAAUUGUAGUUUUUCUCAAAUUGAGUUUUGUACAGAAUAAUUGAUUAAUUAUUGCCGAUGUCAGUUUUUACAUCGGCUAUU
rnacentral:sRNA from 1 species